GACGAACGCUGGCGGCGUGCUUAACACAUGCAAGUCGAACGGAAAGGCCCUGCUUUUGUGGGGUGCUCGAGUGGCGAACGGGUGAGUAACACGUGAGUAACCUGCCCUUGACUUUGGGAUAACUUCAGGAAACUGGGGCUAAUACCGGAUAGGAGCUCCUGCUGCAUGGUGGGGGUUGGAAAGUUUCGGCGGUUGGGGAUGGACUCGCGGCUUAUCAGCUUGUUGGUGGGGUAGUGGCUUACCAAGGCUUUGACGGGUAGCCGGCCUGAGAGGGUGACCGGCCACAUUGGGACUGAGAUACGGCCCAGACUCCUACGGGAGGCAGCAGUGGGGAAUACUGCACAAUGGGCGGAAGCCUGAUGCAGCAACGCCGCGUGCGGGAUGGCGGCCUUCGGGUUGUAAACCGCUUUCGCCUGUGACGAAGCGUGAGUGACGGUAAUGGGUAAAGAAGCACCGGCUAACUACGUG
rnacentral:rRNA from 1 species